AGAAUCGGACAAAUCUAUUUGCAUUCUAUAUUGGUGAGUUUCUAAUUGUUUUUCAUGUAGAUGCAUUAUCAUUUUCUUAAGAAUAUUUCGAGUAAUAUUGAGAGAUGUUCAUCGCAUCCUAAUUUCUAAUCAUUUAUUUUGGGCUUGCUUUAAGUUCUAUUCUAUCUAGGAUUAGUAUUGGAUCAUAUUUUGCACCAAUAAAUCCCCACUCUUAUUUACUUACAUCCUUUCUUGUUCCUUGCAGGGUGUACAAUCUGAACCAUCAAUUUGCUAUUUUUCCUCCAGAAACUGAAUUUCAAAAUAUUUUAUUAUGGAUAUAUUUAAUUGGGAUAAUACAAGCAUGUCUGAAAUUUGAGCAACUGAAUCUCUAGCUCUUUUGAAAAGUUGCUGCUAUUCAUGUAUGGCAUUUGCAGCUCUUUGGGAUGGUUUGACAAGGCACAUCACAAGCAAAUAUUGGAGGAGCUACUACUAAAAUUUUGAAGUCAGAUUCGUAGUGCAGAAUUUUGGAAAUCAGAACAACUAAACUACCCAAGGGUAAGGAUGUUUGGCUCGUGCAUUGGAGAUCGGGUCCAGAUGGAAGUAGGCAGGGAGCGCUGCCCGUGGGGGUAGGGAAAGGCACGGCUCAUGCGUGGAUGGAAGGAGGCAGGGAGCGCCCGGCCACCAUUGACGGUGAGCCAUCGUAUGGCUACUUUCGUGCCAUGCCGACCCCUUCGAGAAGAUCGACAAGGUACUUAGGUUGUGUCCUCCCUGCUCUCCCUAUUCAUGCAUCUUCAUAGUGUAACAGUUUACCAUUGAUUGAAUAAUUUAUUGUGACUUAGAUUGCUUCAUUGAUUA